rnacentral:rRNA from 1 species
UACAGAGGGGGCAAGCGUUGUUCGGAAUUACUGGGCGUAAAGGGCGCGUAGGCGGCCUGUUAAGUCGAACGUGAAAUCCCCGGGCUCAACCCGGGAACUGCGUCCGAUACUGGCAGGCUUGAAUUCGGGAGAGGGAUGUGGAAUUCCAGGUGUAGCGGUGAAAUGCGCAGAUAUCGGGAAGAACACCCGUGGCGAAGGCGGUUCUCUGGGACGGUACUGACGGCUGAGACGCGAAAGCGUGGGGAGCGAACAGG